rfam:Triticum urartu cultivar G1812 contig704415, whole genome shotgun sequence.
CGAGUACUCUCUCCGUUCGAAAAAAGCUUGUCCCUCAAAUGAAUAUAUCUAGCAUCAAGUUAGUGCUAGAUACAUCCAUUUAAAAAACAAGCUUGGGACAAGCUUUUUCGGACGAAGGGAGUACAAU